rnacentral:rRNA from 1 species
AUGCUACCUUCUCAUCAGCUCCUAGAGUUUGCUACAGUAGCCUCCAACCCAUCAAUGGCUUCCUCCUCAUCCUCAGGUCCACUCAAGCCUGUUGCUGACCUUCCAUCAUCCUGCAGCCCUGCAUCUCAUCAUCCUCUUCAGUUUAUAACUGAUGUUGGUUUGGCUGCCUCUCAUGCUGAAAGCAAGGUUUCACCUUGCCGACAGGCUGAUGGUUCUCCAAGUGCUGAAGUAAUGGGGCCAGAGGUUAGCCUUCCAGAGGAUAUCAUUUGGAAGAUACAUGCCCUUAUGGCUAUUCAAGAUGCCGCUCGUGCUGCCUGCUUGUCUCAUGAUUUUCUUCACUCUUGGAGAUGCUAUCCCAAGCUCAUAUUUGAUAUGAGAGCACUAGGCAAACAAACAAGGGAUUUUACCAAAUAG